UACGGAGGGGGCUAGCGUUGUUCGGAAUUACUGGGCGUAAAGCGCACGUAGGCGGCUUUGUAAGUUAGAGGUGAAAGCCUGGGGCUCAACUCCAGAAUUGCCUUUAAGACUGCAUCGCUUGAACGUCGGAGAGGUGAGUGGAAUUCCGAGUGUAGAGGUGAAAUUCGUAGAUAUUCGGAAGAACGCCAGUGGCGAAGGCGGCUCACUGGACGACUGUUGACGCUGAGGUGCGAAAGCGUGGGGAGCAAACAGG
rnacentral:rRNA from 1 species